AAGGGGAUUAUGAUGUACUGUGGGGUGGAAAGUUUUGCUAAGCAAUGCCUUUCAGGCUUAGAGAAAGCCUGUUUUGAACGUCUCUAACAGAAAGCAUAGCUGCACGUAGAACGUAAGGGCAGAAACUGGUGUCAAGGAGAAACCAUACCGAUCAAACUUAUUAUCUGACAGUUUCGUACAGGGUGCGUUACUGCUGGUGGUGACAGGACUCCGCUCUCAGGGGAGAUCUAGUGUCCUGAAAUACUCCUGCAAAAGAGGAAAAUGUCACCUCAACUCCACCACAAAGCUUUUAGUCUUUGAACUCUGCAAACACUUCUACCGAAAGAAGAGAGGUGACCCGAGUUAGUCAUCAGACGGGCAGAUCCCAGCACAAACACACCAGUAGCAAGAAAAACCAAGACAAUGGGGCUUCUCCAACAAUCAUCACUCCAGUGGUAACUUUAGACAGUCUGGUUCCCUAAUUGGUUCUUGUGGGACUUCUCCCAGGAGGAAAAAAGAGAGAGCAGGUGGGACUUCCGGCUCCCAGGAGGAAAAAAGAGAGAGAGCGGGGGCUUUUCGGCCAGCCUUUGGAAGGAGAAGCACGGUACAGCCAUGUAAGAUCUUGGGAAAAUUAGAACCAGCGACCUCUGCUACCAUCGGAGGCUGGCUGCCAUAGGCUAGCUGAUACGACUAGGGCAGGGAUCCUGCGCCCGGCAAUUGUGCUAUCUGGCAAGUUCUAAAAGAAUAAAGCUGUCUAAGUGUUUUUUUCAUCC